CAGUUUAUCCAAAAUGAAAGAGAAAUUCAUCCCAUCAGAUGUCAGAAGAUAAGCAAGAUCGAGCCUGGUUCGAACUUGGAUGGAAGACCGCUGGGAAUAUCAGGUGCCACAGUGG
rnacentral:rRNA from 1 species